AGUCCUCAGUCUACACUAGCCAGGGCUAGCCUCUCUGUUCUUCAGUCCCUUCAGCUGUAAAAUGGAAAUAACAAUGGUAUUUACUGUAUGAAGCUAUGGUGAGGAUUAGCUGAGUUGUUUGUACAAUGCCGGCAUAUAGUAAACUGCUCGGUAAAAGUUAGCUAUGCUCACUCCCUCAGUUCACAAAUGUUUAUUGGACUUCUUGUGAGUGCUCAGUAAUCAUACCAGAUAACAAGAUGCUAGGACUGCAGUGAAUAAGAGUACCUUUUCUGUCUGAGCAGAAAUCAGUCCCUUACAGCCUUCCUAGAACACCAGCCCCAGAAUAGUGUGGGAAUCAUUUACUUCUUCCUCUGUUGAAGAAAUUAUAUGGUCUCAUACAAGGUUCACAAGCAUUUGCAGGGGAGUCCUGUACUUAAAUUUGAGAAGUGAAAGAAUAUACUUAUUUUGAUUUUAUUAGCAUUUCAUUUUGAUAAAACAAGAAUCAAAUGACAACUGAGAUUAUAGGUUUAGCUCUUCACCUAGUUGACUUUGUCCUUAGUUCCUCAGCUCUGAAGUGUUCAGUUUCUGGGUGGAAUUUCUUAGGCACAUGUUGGGUGAUUGAGCCUCCUGAGCGAUCCCCACAGUCAUGGUUGUCAGUCUCCAUGGCUCUGCUGCACUGGCGUUCUCAGAGCCCCACAGUCUCUGAUUACAUUGCAGAUCUCUCUCUGUCUCACGAGAAGUGGCUUCCAUCCUCUGCAAAUAAGAUUGUAUAGUCUUAUUUUCAAGACUUUCUUUUGUUCUCUUAAGAGAAUUUUUCAGGAGAGUAAUAAAAAGGAUAACUACAUUUUGCUCAAGAUACACUCUUACUUUAGUCCCAUGUGGGUCUCAACUUUCUGGAAUUCUCUACACUGCUUCCUCAAAUCCUUCUGGAACCUUAUGUACACUGAGUUUGAGUGAUGUUGAUUUUGCUUGACAGCCUGUCUUUAAGAACAUGUGGAGCGCUUUCUCCAAGUCAUUUAAGGCAACAAGAGAUGUUUGCCAUAUUGAACUUACUAGCUGUUUACAUAUCUCAUUUAAAAACAGAAAUAAAACUGUCUUAUGUUCUGAUCUUCCCUAAAUCCAAAUAAGUUUUUUAUGUUUAGCUUCAAUAGUAUAGAUAUCUAAUGUAAUAUACAAUAAUGAAAUCAUUUUAAUAUCACAAGUAGCACCAUCAAGUAUUUUUCACCCUGUUUGCUUCAUGCAUUUUUCACUCCUCCUUCCUCAGCCCUUUUUUCUCUCCUUGAGAUGAACAUGAGUAGUUUCAACUCUUUAGCUCUUCUCUCUUAGGCAGUAA